rnacentral:rRNA from 1 species
GACGAACGCUGGCGGCGUGCUUAACACAUGCAAGUCGAACGGUGAACGAGAGAGCUUGCUCCCUCCGGAUCAGUGGCGAACGGGUGAGUAACACGUGAGCAAUCUGCCCCGAACUCUGGGAUAAGCGUUGGAAACGACGUCUAAUACCGGAUACGACGCGGGCAGGCAUCCUCUCCGCGUGGAAAGAACUUCGGUUCUGGAUGGGCUCGCGGCCUAUCAGCUUGUUGGUGAGGUAACGGCUCACCAAGGCGACGACGGGUAGCCGGCCUGAGAGGGUGACCGGCCACACUGGGACUGAGACACGGCCCAGACUCCUACGGGAGGCAGCAGUGGGGAAUAUUGCACAAUGGGCGCAAGCCUGAUGCAGCAACGCCGCGUGAGGGACGACGGCCUUCGGGUUGUAAACCUCUUUUAGCAGGGAAGAAGCGAAAGUGACGGUACCUGCAGAAAAAGCACCGGCUAACUACGUG